rnacentral:rRNA from 1 species
GGGAGGUAGUGACAAUAAAUAACAAUACGGGGUCCUUUCGGGUCUCGUAAUUGGAAUGAGUACAAUUUAAAUCUCUUAACGAGGAACAAUUGGAGGGCAAGUCUGGUGCCAGCAGCCGCGGUAAUUCCAGCUCCAAUAGCGUAUAUUAAAGUUGUUGCAGUUAAAAAGCUCGUAGUUGAAUUUCGGAAUCAGUACGCUGGUCGUGCCUUCGGUAUGUACUGGUGUCACUGGUUUCUCCCUUCUGAAGAACCAUCAUGCCAUUCACUUGGUGUGGUGGGAAAUCAGGACUGUUACUUUGAAAAAAUUAGAGUGUUUAAAGCAGGCUCGCGCUUGAAUACAUUAGCAUGGAAUAAUGAAAUAGGACGUUAAUCCUAUUUUGUUGGUUUCUAGGAUCGACGUAAUGAUUAAUAGGGAUAGUUGGG